GGCAUGGUAGAUAAGGUCUAUCUGUUAAAAGCAGGUCGUUUAUUCCUAAACGGUUAACACUUUUGUUUGAUAUAUAGAAUGGUCGGAGAUGUACUAGAUCCAAUAUAUUUGGCAUUGUAAAAAUGCUGGUCAAUUUACGUAUUAAUAUGAGCUUAAGUAAUUAGGUUACAAUCACAAUCAAGUUAAUGUUAUAACCUAUCCACUUCUAUAUUUAACCUUUAUUUAUUUUUUAUUUCCCUAAUG
rnacentral:misc_RNA from 1 species